rnacentral:lncRNA from 1 species
UAAAUUUCAUCUCGCUAGAUUUGGCUCAACAGUUUGGUCAGUCAAUCUCCUUAAAAAAAUAACUUUCUGCCAACCAACAUGCUAGCUGCAGCACCCAAUUUCAUACUGUUCAUAAAUUUGACCAAAAUGUUGAAACAUAAUUGGCCAAAGAUGGAACAUUGUGGCAGUUCACUAGUAAAUGACCUCCAGGUUAACAUUAAUCACCCUUCUUUGGAAUUCAAAAAGAAAAGAGCUAAUGGAUUAAAGGGGAAGUUGAUACCAGGAAACUCAUCUUGCCUUCGAAACUUGAAUGUUCCUGGAAAUUUAGGGUAGAACAAGGGUCAAUAAAUGAGUAUCUCUGAAAGCACUCCACCCCACUUGGGGCUUCCUGAACUAUACCAGUCAGUAAGUCAAGUUAUGUAGUAAGAUUGUAGUCACUUUUUGCCAGUCUAUCACUUAAGCCUUUUAUUAAAAUAGCAUCUGUCCUAAAAUUUAGCCAUCCUAAUGCAUCACUAUUUGACUAAUGGAUUGAUUAGAUACUAAUCUGUUAGUUUGAUGCAGAAUACAAACCACUAAUGUUCUGAACAGCAUGUCCUAUUUGUGUUCUGUGGAUUCCUGAAAAUAGACACUUUGUAUAAGAUAAAAGUCCUGCUACUGGCAAGAAUUCAACAGGGUCUCCUUUGUAUAUCCUUCUAUGUCUCUAGGUUAAUUAGUCCAUAAUGCAAGCUGAGCCAAAACUCCUCUCUAGAUAUAGUGAUCACAUUACUACAUGGUUUCCUGAGGGUCAAUGUCACUGCUAUUCAGUGCUUCUAAUGAAAAAGUUCAUGUUAACUUCCAAUAAGGGAUCAUAUUUUGGACCCACUCUUUUAGAAUAGAUAAGUAAUAGUAGAUAAGCUAAGAAUAUAUUAUUUAUAUCUAUAUCAUCUCUACCUUUACCUAUCUCUACAUCUAUAUUUUUAUUUCAUCUGCAGCCAUGAUUAGAAAUAUUCUAUUCUUUCUUUGUUUUUGUUCACUUUCUUUGUUAAUCCUUUCCUUCCUUCUUUCAUUCCUUCCUUCCUACCAUUCUUUUCUUCCUUCCUUUCUACCUCCAUCCUUCCCUCUCCCUUCCUUCCUUCCUUCCUUCCUUCCUUCCUUCCUUCCUUCCUUCCUUCCUUCCUUCCUUCCUUCCUUCCUUCCUUCCUUCCUUCCUUCCUUCCUUUCUCCUUUCUUUCUUUCUUUCUUUCUUUCUUUCUUUCUUUCUUUCUUUCUUUCUUUCUUUCUUUCUUUCUUUCUUUCUUGCUUUCUUUCUUGCUUUCUUUCUUGCUUUCUUUCUUGCUUUCUUUCUUUCUUGCUUUCUUGCUUUCUUUCUUUCUUGCUUUCUUUUUUCUUUUUUUCUUGCUUUCUUUUUUUCUUGCUUUCUUGCUUGCUUUCUUCCUUUCUUUCUCAUCCAUGCAUUUAAAUUAUUUUAAAUAAUAUUUUAUUUGGCUCCUCAAUUACAUGAAAAGCAUUUUAACUAUUUUUUAGUUUGAGUCAAAUUCUCACCAUCUCUAUCUUUUUACCUUUUUCUCCUCCCCCUUCCCUUAGAUGGCAAGGUAUAUAGGAUACAUUUUAGAUGUGCAAUAGUGUAAACAUUUUUCACAUAUUAAUCAUUUUAUAAAAGAGAAGAUGAAGAAACAAGAAAAAUGAAGAAAUAAAGUUAAAUGUGGUAUACCUUUUUUCUGCA